rnacentral:sRNA from 2 species
UGCAGGGCUUAGUUUCGAUAUCCACCACUUUCAAGGAAUCCAAACUAUAUCAGGAAUGGUUUCAGCGCGGGAAAAAAGGGGCCAUUUACUCCAGAGAGGUUCCAAAUCCCACCCUCGUCAAACUGGCCAAUACUCUUGAGUACUCUUGUGCUUUUAAUGCUUUUCUACUACAUAAUAGUACAGGACAUCGAAGUGGAUCAAGGGAUUCCUAAGAAUGUCAAAAACGGAUGCGCAAGUUUAAUGCCUAAACGUUCUCUUCGGACCCAGGUAGUUCUGCACUUCAUGACUCGGGUUAGAGAAAUCCACAUAAAACGCC